rnacentral:rRNA from 1 species
GACGAACGCUGGCGGCGUGCCUAAUACAUGCAAGUAGAACGCACAGUUUAUACCGUAGCUUGCUACACCAUAGACUGUGAGUUGCGAACGGGUGAGUAACGCGUAGGUAACCUGCCUGGUAGCGGGGGAUAACUAUUGGAAACGAUAGCUAAUACCGCAUAAUAUUGAUUAUUGCAUGAUAAUUGAUUGAAAGAUGCUAUUGCAUCACUACCAGAUGGACCUGCGUUGUAUUAGCUAGUAGGUGAGGUAACGGCUCACCUAGGCGACGAUACAUAGCCGACCUGAGAGGGUGAUCGGCACCACUGGGACUGAGACACGGCCCAGACUCCUACGGGAGGCAGCAGUAGGGAAUCUUCGGCAAUGGACGAAAGUCUGACCGAGCAACGCCGCGUGAGUGAAGAAGGUUUUCGGAUCGUAAAGCUCGGUUGUAAGAGAAGAACGGGUGUGAGAGUGGAAAGUUCACACUGUGACGGUAUCUUACCAGAAAGGGACGGCUAACUACGUG